AUCCAGCUGACGAGUCUCAAAUAGGACGAAACGUGUGUAUUAGAU
rnacentral:hammerhead_ribozyme from 1 species